UACGUAGGGCGCAAGCGUUGUCCGGAAUUAUUGGGCGUAAAGAGCUCGUAGGUGGCUUGUCACGUCGGGUGUGAAAGCUUGGGGCUUAACUCCAGGUCUGCAUUCGAUACGGGCUGGCUAGAGGUAGGUAGGGGAGAACGGAAUUCCUGGUGUAGCGGUGAAAUGCGCAGAUAUCAGGAGGAACACCAACGGCGAAGGCAGCACUCUGGGCCGGUACUGACGCUGAGGAGCGAAAGCGUGGGGAGCGAACAGG
rnacentral:rRNA from 1 species